CUUUUUCACACAAACCUUGCUCCAACAGUAAAUAUAUAUAAUUUUACCACUUAGACACAAAGCCCCAAUUUCAUGCUUGUGAAAAUUCCCAAAAAAAAGUAACCUUUACACAUCAAAACUUGUAACCUCAUCGACUAAUUCAAAUUCACGCUCCUUGCCUCAGUCACAUUAAGGACUUGGCCGGUGUCGAUCCGCAAAUCGAUUAACCAAAGCAAGUGCAUUACUAGUAACUUGUGCAACAUGAAGUAUUCUUAAUCUUAAAGCAGCUUUCACAUUUACAUUCACACCAGGCCCAUUUCUCUGUAUAAACAUGAGACAAGCAUUUGAUAGCCUUGAGAUGGAAUCUAUACUGUUAGGUACUUCAGAACAAGUCCUCUCAGCUUUUCCAUGUAUUCUGCUGCUUGUUUCUGGUUAACACUAUGUGCAGUUGCAAUGUUUUCAUCAAGAAGCGUCAACAAGGGUCUAUUCAGCGCAUUCCUCUCAACCAAAUCCAAAAGAGUAGCCUUGACAUCCUUUGAAGUCAAAAUCUCAGUUAGGUUCUUCUUUGUUGCUACAAGAUCUGCUUGUAAUUUAUCAUAGGCUUCUGUUGCUUCUUGCAGGGCCUUUUGCAGUGCUUCCAGUUCAAAUAAUCUGUCUUCCACAGCCUGAGUUUUGUUUACAGAAAAACGCAGCUUUCCAAGUUCGACUUGCAGAUGGUCAAAGAAUUCUUUGUUCAAUCGUGGUCUCAUUCUUGCAAUCUCAAAUUCAAUCUCUUGAGCUUCAGUGUCAAGAAAAAACUCCACAAGCCCUUCCACUGUAUCCGGAAUCACUCGUGACUCACGAAGAACUCUGCGACGUUCUUUCUCUUCACGAACUUGCCGUUCAAAUUCUUCUCUGGCCGCAGCAUCGUUCUCAAGGCGUCUCUGGAACUCGAGUCGGGCUAUAUGACCCGUUUGAGGCGGACCCAAUAAACCAUCUGGAUCCCAUUCUAGUCUACCAGCACAGCGAAUUGUGUUUACAAAAGUCUUGGGUUUUACAAAUUUGGGCCUGUAGAAUUGAGCUCCAAUGGCGGAACUAGUAAAGCUGCUGCUGAAUGCUGCGGCCAUUGUUGGCCGUUUUUGAGAGCUUUUGAAUGACUGGUUAUUGAGUUCAGUUAGUUUCGCG
rnacentral:misc_RNA from 1 species